UGGGGAAUAUUGCACAAUGGGCGCAAGCCUGAUGCAGCCAUGCCGCGUGUGUGAAGAAGGCCUUCGGGUUGUAAAGCACUUUCAGCGAGGAGGAAGGUGGUGAACUUAAUACGUUCAUCAAUUGACGUUACUCGCAGAAGAAGCACCGGCUAACUCCGUGCCAGCAGCCGCGGGUAAUACGGAGGGUGCAAGCGUUAAUCGGAAUUACUGGGCGUAAAGCGCACGCAGGCGGUUUGUUAAGUCAGAUGUGAAAUCCCCGGGCUCAACCUGGGAACUGCAUUUGAAACUGGCAAGCUAGAGUCUCGUAGAGGGGGGUAGAAUUCCAGGUGUAGCGGUGAAAUGCGUAGAGAUCUGGAGGAAUACCGGUGGCGAAGGCGGCCCCCUGGACGAAGACUGACGCUCAGGUGCGAAAGCGUGGGGAGCAAACAGGAUUAGAUACCCUGGUAGUCCACGCUGUAAACGAUGUCGAUUUGGAGGUUGUGCCCUUGAGGCGUGGCUUCCGGAGCUAACGCGUUAAAUCGACCGCCUGGGGAGUACGGCC
rnacentral:rRNA from 1 species